rnacentral:misc_RNA from 1 species
AACAAGGCGUACCUGCGGACCUGCGGAAGGAUCAUUAACGAGUGCAACCUACCCUUUUAAAAAAUGGGUGGUACCUCCCGUCCUUUGCGGGCCCCCUUCUUUUAUUAAGGGGGGGGCUUUUAAGACUUUCUGCUUCGGCGGGGUUAUUCCCGCCGGAACACCUUCAAAAAACUCUUGAUCAAAAAACUGUUCAGUCCGAGAAUUUUUGAAAAUUAAAACAAAACUUUCAACAAUGGAUCU